rnacentral:rRNA from 1 species
UACGUAGGGGGCUAGCGUUGCUCGGAAUCACUGGGCGUAAAGGGCGCGUAGGCGGCCAUUCAAGUCGGAGGUGAAAGCCCAGGGCUCAACCCUGGAAUUGCCUUCGAUACUGUCUGGCUAGAGACCGGAAGAGGUAAGUGGAACUGCGAGUGUAGAGGUGAAAUUCGUAGAUAUUCGCAAGAACACCAGUGGCGAAGGCGGCUUACUGGUCCGGUUCUGACGCUGAGGCGCGAAAGCGUGGGGAGCAAACAGG